GCAACAAGCUUUAGAACUAGCUUUGGAUCGUGCAGAGUAUGUCAUUGAAAGUGCCCGACAGAGACCUCCUAAAAGGAAAUACCUAUCAAGUGGAAGAAAAUCUGUAUUUCAAAAACUUUAUGACUUGUAUAUUGAAGAAUGUGAAAAAGAACCUGAGGUUAAGAUUCCGAGACCAUUCGCCUGCCCUAUGAAGAAGGAGAGUUGCUUGAAUAUUUGGAUGCAGAAGAAUUACCUCCUAUUUUGGUUGAUCUCCUAGAAAAAUCUCAGGUUAAUAUUUUUCAUUGCGGAUGUGUCAUAGCAGAAAUACGUGACUACAGGCAGUCCAGUAACAUGAAAUCUCCUGGUUACCAAAGUCGGCACAUUCUCUUACGUCCAACAAUGCAGACUUUAAUUUGUGAUGUACAUUCAAUAACAAGUGAUAACCACAAAUGGACCCAGG
rnacentral:sRNA from 1 species